AGUGAACGCUGGCGGUAGGCCUAACACAUGCAAGUCGAACGGCAGCACAGUAAGAGCUUGCUCUUACGGGUGGCGAGUGGCGGACGGGUGAGGAAUACAUCGGAAUCUACUUUUUCGUGGGGGAUAACGUAGGGAAACUUACGCUAAUACCGCAUACGACCUACGGGUGAAAGCAGGGGAUCUUCGGACCUUGCGCGAUUGAAUGAGCCGAUGUCGGAUUAGCUAGUUGGCGGGGUAAAGGCCCACCAAGGCGACGAUCCGUAGCUGGUCUGAGAGGAUGAUCAGCCACACUGGAACUGAGACACGGUCCAGACUCCUACGGGAGGCAGCUGUGGGGAAUAUUGGACAAUGGGCGCAAGCCUGAUCCAGCCAUACCGCGUGGGUGAAGAAGGCCUUCGGGUUGUAAAGCCCUUUUGUUGGGAAAGAAAAGCAGCAGGUUAAUACCCCGCUGUUCUGACGGUACCCAAAGAAUAAGCACCGGCUAACUUCGU
rnacentral:rRNA from 1 species